CAGGUGCAGAUUUGGCAUAUUCUGGCUCCAAAGGUUGACCUUUCUUUCUUUCUUUCUUUCUCCUUCUAAGACACCAAGCAGAAUGGAGAUGCCAAUGUGGUUCUGUCAGAUGAAGAUCAACCUCUUUCUUCACCCCAAGAGGAAAAGCAGCUUAUGAGGGGCUCAAGUACCAGGGACAAAAACAAAAAAGCAGCAACCUGUUUCUCCUAAGCACUGGAGAUUUCUCUUGUGCUGCUGAUGGUAGCAUCCGGAAAGGACUCUUGAAUCCUCAGUGACUGUCACUAGAAGCUGGGAUUGGCUCAAGAAAUUUUCCUGUUAAAAUGUAUACAAGGAGAAUGUAAGCUGGAAGGACCCAUCUAUUUGCUCUAAUCCUGCUUGCUGUGUAUUCAAUAUAUAAAAAUGUAUCUGAGACAUCC
ensembl:lncRNA